AUUGAACGCUGGCGGCAGGCCUAACACAUGCAAGUCGAGCGGAGCGGCGGGCGGGUGGGUGAGGCCUAGGAAUCUACCUGGUAGUGGGGGAUAAAGUCCGGAAACGGACGGUAAUAACGCAUGCUAUCAAAUAGGCCUAGGUCGGAUUAGCUAGUUGGUGGGGUAAAGGCCUACCAAGGCGACCAUCCGUAACUGGUCUGAGAGGAUGAUCAGUCACACUGGAACUGAGACACGGUCCAGACUCCUACGGGAGGCAGCAGUGGGGAAUAUUGGACAAUGGGCGAAAGCCUGAUCCAGCCAUGCCGCGUGUGUGAAGAAGGUCUUCGGAUUGUAAAGCACUUUAAGUUGGGAGGCGUUACCAACAGAAUAAGCACCGGCUAACUUCGUGCCAGCAGCCGCGGUAAUAC
rnacentral:rRNA from 1 species